AUUGAUGAAAUCUUCCCCUAAAAGGCAUGGUUCUCCUCCUGGAAUCCUCAUGGUAGUUGGCUGAGAGACUUUGGGCAAUCAUGAGGAGUUUGUGAGUUCUAAUCCUGCAGUAGGAUUGAUUAAAUCUUCCCUAAAAGCAUUAAGCAUGGACCAUUCUCCUCCUGGAAUCCUCAUGCUAGGUGGCAGAGCGACCCUGGGCCAACAACCAGCAGAUAGUAAGUUCUAAUCCUGGUUGGAUCAAUUAUUCUAGAAACAGGUGAGCAGGACUCUUGCAGCACGCAGAACAAAAAGUAGACUGAUUUUGGGUGAAUAAGUUAAAAAUAUUGACUUCUCAUCCUUUCUUAGGCAUGGUUCUCCUCCUGGAAUCCUCAUGGUAGAUGGCUGAGAGACUUUGGGCAAUCAUGAGGAGUUUGUGAGUUCUAAUCCUGCAAU